UCUUUUAAUUGAAGGCUUGUAUGAAUGGUUGGACGAGAUAUUAACUGUUUCAAUUUAAAAUUUAGAAUUUUAUUUUUUAGUCAAAAAGCUAAAAUAAUAUUAAAAGACGAGAAGACCCUAUAGAUCUUAAUAAUUUAUAUAUUAAAUUUAUAAAGAAUAUUUCAUAUUUAAUAUAAAAGAUUAUUUUAUUGGGGUGAUAAUAAGAUUUAAAAAACUCUUAUUUAUGAUAACAUAAAUUAAUGAAUAAUUGAUCCAUUAUUAAUGAUUAAUAAAUUAAGUUACCUUAGGGAUAACAGCGUAAUUUUUUUAGAGAGUUCAUAUCGAUAAAAAAGAUUGC
rnacentral:rRNA from 1 species